rnacentral:rRNA from 1 species
GAUGAACGCUAGCGGGAGGCCUAACACAUGCAAGCCGAGCGGUAGAAGAUCUUCGGAUCUUUGAGAGCGGCGUACGGGUGCGUAACACGUGUGCAACCUGCCUUUAUCUGGGGGAUAGCCUUUCGAAAGGAAGAUUAAUACCCCAUAAUAUAUUGAAUGGCAUCAUUUAAUAUUGAAAACUCCGGUGGAUAGAGAUGGGCACGCGCAAGAUUAGAUAGUUGGUGAGGUAACGGCUCACCAAGUCUGUGAUCUUUAGGGGUCCUGAGAGGGAGAUCCCCCACACUGGUACUGAGACACGGACCAGACUCCUACGGGAGGCAGCAGUGAGGAAUAUUGGACAAUGGGUGAAAGCCUGAUCCAGCCAUCCCGCGUGAAGGAUGACGGUCCUAUGGAUUGUAAACUUCUUUUGUACAGGGAUAAACCUACUCUCGUGAGGGUAGCUGAAGGUACUGUACGAAUAAGCACCGGCUAACUCC